rnacentral:rRNA from 1 species
ACUCCUACGGGAGGCAGCAGUGGGGAAUAUUGCACAAUGGGGGAAACCCUGAUGCAGCCAUGCCGCGUGUGUGAAGAAGGCCUUGGGUUGUAAAGCACUUUCAGUAGGGAGGAAGGUAGUGUAGUUAACACCUGCAUUAUUUGUACGUUACCUACAGAAGAAGCACCGGCUAACUCCGUGCCAGCAGCCGCGGUAAUACGGAGGGUGCGAGCGUUAAUCGGAAUUACUGGGCGUAAAGCGCAUGCAGGCGGCCUGUUAAGUCAGAUGUGAAAGCCCGGGGCGUUAACCUCGGAAUUGCAUUUGAAACUGGCAGGCUAGAGUCUUGUAGAGGGGGUUAGAAUUUCAGGUGUAGCGGUGAAAUGCGUAGAGAUCUGAAGGAAUACCAGUGGCGAA